rnacentral:tRNA from 1 species
GGGCGGAUGGUGAAACUGGCAGACACGCCAGCCUUAGGAGCUGGUACCGCAAGGUGUGAGGGUUCAACUCCCUCUCCGCCCACCA